rnacentral:rRNA from 1 species
CACGUAGGGGGCAAGCGGUUGUCCGGAUUCAUUGGGCGUAAAGAGCUCGUAGGACGGUUCGAUAAGUCGGGUGUGAAACCUCCAGGCUCAACCGUGGAGACGCCACCCGAUACUCGUCGUGACUAGAGUCCAGUAGGGGAGCGUGGAAUUCCUGGUGUGAGCGGUGAAAUGCGCAGAUAUCAGGAGGACACCAGCGGCAAGGCGGACGCUCUGGGCUGGAACUGACGCUGAGGAGCGAAAGCGUGGGAG